UACGGGGGGAGCAAGCGUUGUUCGGAUUUACUGGGCGUAAAGGGCGCGUAGGCGGCGUAACAAGUCACUUGUGAAAUCUCCGGGCUUAACUCGGAGCGGCCAAGUGAUACUGUUGUGCUAGAGUGCGGAAGGGGCUACUGGAAUUCUCGGUGUAGCGGUGAAAUGCGUAGAUAUCUGGAGGAACACCGGUGGCGAAGGCGGCAUCCUGGACCAACAAUGACACUGAGGAGCGAAAGCCAGGGGAGCAAACGGG
rnacentral:rRNA from 1 species